CAAGAGCCAAAUGUGAAAAACAAGCCAAAUGUCCUUAAGAGGGUGAAUGGAUAAAAAAACAAACAAACAAAAACAAACAAAAACAAACAAACAAACAAAAAACCUGGUGCAUCCAUACAGUGGAAUCCUACCCAACGAUGAGAAGGAGCACACACAGCUUGGAUGGAUCUCAUGGGUGUUAUACGCUGAGUGACAGUAUCCAGUAUUAAAAUGUUAUAUACUAAGUGGUUCCAUUUACAAAGAAGUCCCAAAGUGACAAAACUAAAAAUCUAAAAUUCUUUCAAAAUAAAGUUUAUAAGGGGAAAAAAAAAGACUCAGAAAAAUUAAGCAAAAAAAAUCUACCAGGCUAUAACCACUGUGGAGAACAGCAUGGAGGUUCCUUUAAAACUAAAACAAGAACUAUCAUAUGAUCCUGCAAUCCUACUCCUGGGCAUAUAUCUGGAUAAAACUAUAAUUCAAAAAGAUACAUGUACCCCAAUGUUCAUAGCAGCAUAAUUCACAACAGCCCAUACAUGGAAGCAACUUAAAUGCCCAUCAACAGAUGAAUGGAUCAGACGAUGUGGUACAUACAUACAGGGAAUACUACUCAGCCAUAAAAAAGAACAAAAUAAUGCCAUUUGCAGCAACAUGGAUUCAACUACAGAUUUUCAUACUAAGUGAAGUCAGAGAAAGAUAAAUAUCCUAUGAUAUCACAUAUAUGGAAUCUAAUUUUUUAAAUGAUACAAAUGAACUUAUUUAUACAACAGUAAUAGACACACAGAUUUUGAAAACAAACUUACAGUUACCAAAGUGAGAGCAUGGGGGGGAUAAAUUAGAAUUUGGGGGUUAACAUAUACACACUACUAUUUAUAAAUACAUAACCAACAAGGACUAAUUAUAUAGCACAGGGAAUACUACUCAAUAUUCUGUAAUAACCUAUGUGGGGAAAGAAUCUGAAAAGGCAUGGAUAUACGUAUAUCUGAAUCACUUUGCUGUACACCUGAAACUAACACAAGUUUGUACACCAACUAUACUCCAAUAAAAUUUAAAUACACACACACACAUUUAUCCGCAUCAGGCACAUGCAGACAACAACCCACACAACAGAGAUGACGCUAUUAACAUCAGACAAGGUUAAACUCAAGGCCAAAAGCACUCAAUGAGACAAAGAGGAGAAUUUCCUAAGACAGAGUGACCACUGAAAAUCUCAUAGGCCGGGGUAUGCCCAGCACAACAUCCAAGUUCACAGAGCCCAGCAGGCCAAAUUUAGGAGAAGCACAGACACGGCGUCAUUAGACACUCUUAACUGACCACAGGCAAGGACGCGCUGACGCCGACUGAGUUCAGGAAGCAGGUGGGAUCCAGACGACCUCUCGGAUCACCGGGCAACAAGACGAAGCUGGGCCACGGAAGCUGCGGGGAAAUUCUCCAGCACACCAGACACUUCCAACUCUUGAGCCCAACAGUAAGUCACAAGAGAACUGCAUAAAAUGCAAAAAUGAAUGACGCAUGCGCCGGUCCAGGUCAGGCUGCGGCGUCAGGCAGAACUCACAGAAAAGGCAGUAGCUCUGUAUAUUUUCAUUCACGCUCAAUCUUCUUAUUUUGUUGUUUAACACUCAAUGAAGUUGAAAAUGAAAAACAAACAUAAGAAGAGCAGGAGGAGGAGAUCCCGUUGUGGCUCAGCAGAAACAAACCUGACCGGUAUCCAUGAAGACGUGGGUUCAAUCUGAGCCGGCUCAGUGGGUUAAGGAUCCAGUGUUGCCACAAGCUGUGGUAUAGGUCACACAUGUGGCUCAGACCUGGCGUUGCUGUGGCUGUGGUGUAAGCUGGCCUGGGAACCUCCCUAUGUCACAGGUGUGGCAGAAAAAAAGAAAGAGAAAAAGAGAGAGACAGAAAGAAAGAAAAAAAGCAGGAGGAAAAAGCAAUAUUAACAUAAAGUUAAUAGGACUUAAUCUAAGGAAAAAAUGCAAGGAAAAUACAAGAGAAAAAAUCCACAACGGCAAAAAAUUUCAAAUAUAUCGUAUGUAAAUUAAUUUGAAGAUUUAAAUGAAAUGGAAAAUUUAUUAAGAAUUAUAAAAAUCAGGAAUUUGCAUUAUGUCUCAGUGGUAACAAAUCCGACUAGUAUCCUAUAAGGAAACAGUUUCAAUCCCUGGCCUUGCCUAGAGGUUAAGGAUCCUGCAUUCCCACGGCUGUGUAGGCCAGAGGCUAGAGCUCCCAUUCAACCCCUAGUCUGGGAACUUCCAUGUGCUACGGGUACAGCCCUAAAAAGACCCCCCAAAAAACAGAAUUAUAAAAAUCAUCCACGAGUUCCCAUCAUGGCUCAGCAGGUUAAGAAUCUGACUAGUAUCCAUGAGGGUGUGGGUUUGAUCCCUGGCCUCGCUCAGUGGGUUAAGGAUCCGGUGUUCCUGUGAGCUGUGGUGUAGGUUGCAGAUGCGGCUCAGAUCCCGCGUUGCUGUGGCUGUGGUUUAGGCCAGCAGCUCUAGCUCCAAUUCCACCCCUAGCCUGGGAACCUCCAUAUGCCUCAGGUGCAGCCCUAAAAAGACCAAAAAAAAAAAAAAAAUCCAAACUGAUCCUAGCAGAUGUUACCAACAACCUAGAUCAUUUUUUAAAAAAUGGACAGGGUUAUCAAGAGUUAACCCCUCUCACUUGACCACCAAACCAAAAAAUACCAGAUGAAUUUUACCCCAAAUUUAAGGAACUCCUUUCAUUUGCAUUGUCUAGAAUCUAGAAAAGAGAAAAAUUCUAAGUGUUUUUUAAGACCAGCACAACUUUAAAGCGUGCCUUAACAUAAAAUCUGACCAAAACAGAACCAACCUACCAGACAAACUCAUUUAUACACACCCCCGCAAAAGCACUAAGCACGGACCAAGUGAAUAAACACACUUAAAGCGUGACAGUUAAAGCACAAAGAGGGCGUACUAUUUGGAAACUUAUUAAUUUGCUAUUGCUUAUUAAUAACUGAAGAAAAGCAUGGAAGCUAAAAAAAAAUAGCUUUUUAUAAAAUUCAGCAUCUCUUCUUGAUCCCUCUUAAUAACGAAUUCAAAUGGGUAGUUUCUUUGCAUGAAAAGUAUGUAUUUAUAGAUACGAAACAUCUCAGGACAAAUGCCAGCAUCAUGCUUAAUGAUGAAAGAAAGGUAAGGUGUGUUUCCAUAAAAGUCAGGAGUUCCCGUCGUGGCGCAGUGGUUAACGAAUCCGACGAGGAACCAUGAGGUUGCGGGUUCGGUCCCUGCCCUUGCUCAGUGGGUUAAUGAUCCGGCGUUGCUGUGACCUGUGGUGUGGGUUGCAGACGCGGCUCGGAUCCUGCGUUGCUGUGGCUCUGGCAUAGGCCGGUGGCUACAGCUCCGAUUAGACCCCUAGCCCGGGAACCUCCAUAUGCCACGGAAGCAGCCCAAAGAAAU
rnacentral:lncRNA from 1 species